rnacentral:lncRNA from 1 species
CUCCUUCUUCAUGGCCUGGAAGAGGGAGAUCUGGUCGCCGGUGUAGGGGUCGGUGUAGCCCGUCACGGCCCUCUCGGCCGACAGCAGCUUCUCGUGCAGCUCGCUGCCCACCAGCCCGGCCGAGACGGCCUCGUCCACGGAGAGCUUCUGGUUGCUGAGCGGGUCGACGAGGAAGCCGGUGGCAGCCUGUGCCUCCAGCAGCACCAGGGCCGUGCCCUGCCUCAGGAUGCCCUUCCACAUGGCCUGGUAGAUGCUCAUCUUCUCCAUCUUGGCCGGGUCGGCCUUGGACGGCACCAGCACGCCGGCGAUGCAGCCCGUGCCGUCCAGGUAGCGCUUGACGGAGGCCAUUUCCGUCACCUGCUGCACCGUCUUGGAGCCCUGCACCAGGUCGGCCAGCGUGUCCUUGUCGAUGAUGCCCGAGUCCAGCAGGUCCGAGGCGGUCACCUGCCGCCUGAGGCCUGUGAAUUUCACCUUGCUGCUCUGCUCCACCGCCUCCUGGAUGAGCACGCUGAGGAGCCUCGCCAGCUCGUCCAGCGCCAGGCUGCCGUCGCGCACCUUCCCCAGCAGCUCCUGCCUCUUCGCCUCGGACACGUACUUGGAGAAGAGGAGCUCCCACAGGGAGACCUUCCUGCCGUGGAAGCCGCCCGCCGAGACCUCGACGGUGUGGGACGUCAGGGCCCGCUCCAGCUCCAGCUCCCGUUCUUGCUCCCGCUCGCGCUCGCGCUCGCGCUCGCGCUCCCGCCGGGAGCCCGCGGCCUCGCCGUUCUCAGCCUCCGGCGGGGCCUCCCGCUGCGUGGGCUUGCGGGCCAGGGCGGCGCCGUGGCCCUGGCCCUCGGCCCCGCUGAUGAUGGCGGUGAGGAGGGUGAUCAUCUCGGAGAUGGCCAGCGUCCCCGCCUUGUACUUGCGCAGGAGGUCCUGGCGCCGGUGCUCGGGGAUGUAGCGAGAGAAGAGGAGCUCCCAGACGGUGACGCUCUGGCCCUGGAAGAGCCCCACGCUGACGGUGGUGCGGGCAACCUGCAGGGCUUUGCGGGCGUCCUCGCUCAGCUGGUAGAGCACCGAGCCCUUGUCCAUCAGCUGCAGCAUGAGCAGCCCCGUGUCCGGGUCGGGCACGCAGCGGCGCAGGAGCUGCAUGUAGGUGAGGUUCUCG